rnacentral:rRNA from 1 species
GAUGAACGCUGGCGGCGUGCCUAAUACAUGCAAGUCGAGCGAACAGACGAGGAGCUUGCUCCUCUGACAUUAGCGGCGGACGGGUGAGUAAAACGUGGAUAACCUACCUAUAAGACUGGGAUAACUUCGGGAAACCGGAGCUAAUACCGGAUAAUAUAUUGAACCGCAUGGUUCAAUAGUGAAAGACGGUUUUGAUGUCACUUAUAGAUGGAUCCGCGCCGCAUUAGCUAGUUGGUAAGGUAACGGCUUACCAAGGCAACGAUGCGUAGCCGACCUGAGAGGGUGAUCGGCCACACUGGAACUGAGACACGGUCCAGACUCCUACGGGAGGCAGCAGUAGGGAAUCUUCCGCAAUGGGCGAAAGCCUGACGGAGCAACGCCGCGUGAGUGAUGAAGGUCUUCGGAUCGUAAAACUCUGUUAUUAGGGAAGAACAAAUGUGUAAGUAACUAUGCACGUCUUGACGGUACCUAAUCAGAAAGCCACGGCUAACUACGUG